GCGACCGGCCCGCCUAGCUACGUAUGGCGAAAAUACGCAUAGAAAUGAAUACUGACGCCCAUUGAAAUGUGUUGAAGGUGGGCAAAACAGAAACGUUUGUUUGUUUGUUUGUUUCGAACCCCGCUCGAAAUCUUCAAAAAACACGGACAAACAUACGUUUUCCACGAAAAUGGACAAAAUGGCGGGAAUCUGCGCUUUCGAAACCACGGGUUCCUAAUGAGUGGGUCGGGUUUAUUAAUAUUAGUCGAUUUUUGCGGAAGAUAAAUAUAUGCCUUGUUUGUUUCCUUCAGAUGACGCCUGGCUGAAAAAGGGCCUGUUGGAACGAGUCGGCGACAAAUCAUCUGAUGCACCCUGACAGCAGCUAGAGGAUGAAGGGAGGAGGAGGCGGCCCAACGGCGUCCUCCGUGUCCCCCCGAGCAACAUUCGGGAAGCAAUCUGCUAAUGUGCCUUGAAGAACAAUGGUGGCAAAGUUAAAUGGUGAGCGAAGUGUUGUUUCCUUCGAUCCUGGCUAACCCCUGCUUAUUCAUGGCCAUCGAUGACCUUCUCCCCUUCCUGACAUUCAUCUAUUCUUGACCAUUUUCCCAUCAGGUGAGAGUUCUUCUUGCUAUCGCUUCUUUCUAUUCCUGGCUCGCUUGACCUCCACAUCCAUAUUCCCUGGUCAUCCCCCCAUCCAUUACUAGUCACUUAAGCCGUAGCUAAUAUCGGUAUAUUAUUUUCCCGCUGACACUCUGGCGGCUUCAUCCCUCUCAGCCCUACUUAGUGUGAAAUGUGCCAAGGGGAUAUGUGUUCAUAAAUCGUGCUUGUAAAUAAACAUGCGUGUCAAGGAGAUGUGUGUUUCCGAUCAUAUCCGUCGCCACUCGCCAGGAUUUGUUCUUAUUCCAUAAGAGGUUUCAGUUUUUACUGCAUCAUUAAAGUGUUGAUGGAGGCCACAUGUACAUAACAUGUUUCGACAUUUAUCAUCUCCCUGCUGAUUUAUUCCCAAAUUGACAGCCGAGAAAAAUAACUUUGUUCUCUUGCACUCAUGGCAAUGAGGUUAUUGUGCAGCUAACUGAGCCAGGAUCCUGCCAAAAAGGCAAGUUUUUAGUCCCGACUCUUAGGGACAGUUGGCUAUGGAGCAUCCUGGUACCGGGCCAACUCGGGGCCUAUGCUGAUUUUGUUUCCUCUGACCUCCAGCAAAUCAUACAGUGGCGCCAUUUAAAAAGGGGAGGGUGUAACCUUCAAGUCAAUAAAUCAGAGGGAGAGAUGAAUGGUAAUGUCACGACGGACAGACGGCAUUCCAAUCUGCAUUGUGUUUGACAGGGUGGGGGCUUUUUGUGCGCACCGGCAUGUGCUCCCUCGAGAAGAUCAUUUGUCAAAUUGCAUCCGAGUGGUUGCAUAACAAAGGAAAUGCUUGAAGGAAUUUUGGAAAUUGAACAAAACGUCGCUGCCCUAUAGGAUGGCAAAAUUCCUCAACUAUUCAAAGUUGG